rnacentral:rRNA from 1 species
UAAAUUAAAGAAACUCGUUUUAUAAUCGAUAAAGCCCGAUCAUUUUCACUUAAUAACAUUUACAUAAUUUAUAUACCGCCGUUAUUUAGAAAUUACACAAACAAAACAUCAAAAUCAAUACUUUCACAAAAAUCAGGUCAAGGUGUAAUUAAUAUUUAAGAAAAAAUAAGUUACACUUAAAAAAGAUUUAAGGAUAAAAAAAUUAAAUUUUUUAAGAAAAAGAAUUUAUAAUUAAUUAUGGGCUAAAAUCCCAUAUAGAAAACAUAUACUAUAAUGC